rnacentral:rRNA from 1 species
AGACGGGGGGUGCUAGCGUUGUUCGGAAUUACUGGGCGUAAAGGGCGCGUAGGCGGCUCUGCGAGUCGGGCGUGAAAUCCCGGGGCUCAACCCCGGAACGGCGCUCGAUACUGCGGGGCUGGAGACCGGAAGAGGAGGGUGGAAUUCCCAGUGUAGAGGUGAAAUUCGUAGAUAUUGGGAGGAACACCGGUGGCGAAAGCGGCUCUCUGGUCCGGUUCUGACGCUGAGGCGCGAAAGCGUGGGGAGCAAACAGGAUUAGAAACCCCUGUAGUCC